AAACGUUAGGUAUGCCUGGC
rnacentral:siRNA from 1 species